GACGAACGCUGGCGGCGUGCUUAACACAUGCAAGUCGAACGGUAAGGCCCUUCGGGGUACACGAGUGGCGAACGGGUGAGUAACACGUGGGUGAUCUGCCCUGCACUUCGGGAUAAGCCUGGGAAACUGGGUCUAAUACCGGAUAGGACCAUUGCCUGCAUGGGUGGUGGUGGAAAGCUUUUGCGGUGUGGGAUGGGCCCGCGGCCUAUCAGCUUGUUGGUGGGGUGAUGGCCUACCAAGGCGACGACGGGUAGCCGGCCUGAGAGGGUGACCGGCCAGACUGGGACUGAGCUACGGCCCAGACUCCUACGGGAGGCAGCAGUGGGGAAUAUUGCACAAUGGGCGCAAGCCUGAUGCAACGACGCCGCGUGAGGGAUGACGGCCUUCGGGUUGUAAACCUCUUUCAGCACCGACGAAGCGCAAGUGACGGUAGGUGCAGAAGAAGGACCGGCCAACUACGUGCCAGCAGCCGCAGUAA
rnacentral:rRNA from 1 species